CCCUGGAAGAUUCGCGGCUUAUCUCUACUUUUAUAAAAAGCCGAGUUGGUGAUGAUGGUGUGCCUGCCAUCUUGCAAUAUAUACCGUCCGAUCUAUAUCUGACGGAUAGAAAGAAGACUAUGAUAAUUUUGCAAAAAGAUACCCACACCUCUCUCCACAUUUGCAGAUAAGACCUUCCCUUGUUCAUCCUUAUCUCCCACAACCUCAUUGUUGAGCAAUUAAGAAAGGAAGCCUCUGGAACAAUCUGACAUGGUGGCCGUUGCCGGCGUCGUCCAUCCCCGUGCCUCCGUUCAGUCCGACCAUCAAUCACCACCACUUCCCACUUUUCCUCACCUUAUCUCUCCUCUUUCUCGAGAUAUCAUUAGUUUUUACACAUGGGAUUACUCCCGCAUGGGUCAAUCACAACAGGUGUUUUAUAAAAAAAAAAAUGCAUCUUGAUGUUCCGUGCAAUGCACCGGGCAUCUUGCUAGUCAAACAAAACAAACGGAACAGGGGACAGAACCACCCAACCACACUGGAGAGCCACCCAAUAAAUUGAUGACCAAGAACAAACUAUACCUCUGAAACAAAAAAAAAAAAUCAAUUUUCUACAUUUUCACCGGUCACCAUACUCUCUAAUUGCUCUAAAAAAUAUUCUACUACCAUUUUCUGGAUGGUUCUAGAUGAUAUCUCCUCCGUCUUUUGCCAAAUGCCAUUCAGGUGGCGCGUCAAAAGCCUGCUCAAGAAGCAACCUGUAGAACAAGCCGAGUAAUAAUAGAAGAACAGAGUACCGGCUGUCCCGCUAAUCCAGCUUUUGCCUCAGAACAGGCACGUCUUCAAGCUUGACUGCCAUUGCUGUAGCCUGUAGGGGUGGCGCGAGGAGUUCGACCUCGUCAUCGAACGUGAGCCUGCAAACGUUUCUAGGGGAACAACCUCAUUGCUGAACCAGUCUCCUAUUUUGUGAGUUGCAUUCAGACUGUUCAAAAUCAAAUGGGAAACAUGACAACACGAAAAAUAAUAGCAGGAAAGGAAUAUAUGCGAAAAGUUGAUCUGCUGAAAAAAUACACCCAUAAAUCUUCGGGUAGUAAAUAGUGCAAUUUGUUGACCAACAAUAUUGAACAAUUAUCCUAGAAUUUUUUUAGCUUGUCCAACAGAAAUAAUACCAAUUGUUUUUUGUUUGUGAUUUGUGAGUUGGUGUCGUUGUUACUAAUUGUACCGGUUUGGUUCACUGCAGACUUCAUAACAUCAUUAUUACUUGUAUCAUGAUUUUUAAAUUUUGCCUCUCUACUCCAUUUGUACUGUGACAGUUUCUUCACAGAUAGACAUCUUGCUGUUCCGAGUUAUAAGCAAGUAUCUUUCCCUAAUAUGAUAACGCUUCUUCUCAAAAGAACUCAUUGGUCCAACAGCUGUACUUUUGACUGAGGAAGUAUUCUGCCCUGUUGGGAAACAGCUGCACAUGUAAUAUGUCGAAAUGGAUUUCGUGCUUGUACCUCAAUGGACCUUGGUAAAUGAUUUAUUGAGUUUUCCUUGCAUUCCUUCGUAUUUUAUAAAUGACUGAUCAUGCAAAAAUUAAAUCGAGAGGCUGUAGCAUAGAGUGUAUCAUAAAAAUUCAAUAUGAGAUUUUCAGAAUUAUAUUGCAGCAUAAGAUAGAUAGAAAAAUGAAAAGCUUUCUAGAAAAACACAAACACUUGGCGGUCUGAAUUUAGGAUUACAGGGCAUUAUUAGAAUUCUCUUUGAUUGGAAAGUCCAGAUCAUCAAAAUAGAAAAUGAAAAGCUUUGUGAACAUAAACACAAACACUUGGUGUUCAGAAAUCAAAGGUUGUUAGGUAUGUAUUAUUUGACUUAUUAUGUUAAAUCAGAAGGCACAGAUCAACAGAAGUAUUGGCUUUACUAUGAGAAUGACUCCACGUUACCUGUUUCCCAACUUAGUAAAGCUAAAAGUAUAUUCUGUGAUCCAACUCUCAACAACGCUCAUGCACCAGUGCUAACAAUGCCAGCUGCCCAGCUCUGCCCACGGGUUGGUACAGUGGGCGAGGACACCCAGCGCACCAAGUUUGUUUUCCACAUGCUGAGGAUGGCUCAAAUUUGACAGAAGCGUAGCACGAUCUGGGAGUGGCGAGAGACAGGGAGAUGGAGAACAUGCCUGGAGGGUGGGGACUGUGGCGAGGGACAGCGAGAGUGAGGCUGGAUAGGGAGAGCACGAAUGGAAGGGCGAGCAUUCGAUCUCCAGAGCGGCCUGGAUGCAUUGCGGUGGUCUGAGGCUCUGAGCCAUCGCGGCAUCGCGUGCAGAAGAGUCG
rnacentral:lncRNA from 1 species